rnacentral:rRNA from 1 species
GAUGAACGCUGGCGGCGUGCCUAAUACAUGCAAGUCGAGCGAACAGACGCGAAGCUUGCUUCUCUGAUGUUAGCGGCGCACGGGUGAGUCACACGUGUAUCCCCUACCUAUCAGACUGGGAUAACUUCGGGACACCGGCGCUAAUACCGGAUAAUAUUUUGAACCGCAUGGUUCAAUAGUGAAAGACGGUCUUGCUGUCACUACUAGAUGGAUCUGCGCUGCAUUAGCUAGUUGUUAAGGUAACGGCUUACCAAGGCAACGAUGCAUAGCCGACCGGCGAGGGUGAUCGGCCACACUGGAAGGGAGACACGGUCAAGACGCCUAAGGGAGGCAGCAGUCGGGAAUGUGAGGCAGUGGGCGAAAGCCUGACGGAGCAAGGGCGCGUGAGUGAUGAAGGUCUUCGGAUCGGAAAACUGUGUUAUUAGGGAAGAACAGAUGUGUAAGGAGCUGUGGAGAUCGUGACGGUACCGAAUCAGAAAGCACCGGCUAACUACGUG